GGCCGCUAAACCUGAGGGCGCCCGGCCUGCGCACGCGGACCUGGACUGGAACCCUACUUGCAGGUCCCCAACUUGCGUCUCUUCUCUCUGUCUCUACCCCAGCCAAGGACAAAGACUUCUCCUCCGGAAGGCCUCCCCCAGCUGAGGGAACGUUCCAGGUCUUCCCUCGGCCCUGGCUGCGCGCCCGGUGCCGGCUCUGACGUGGUUUCCUCUCCCCUCAGGACUGGUCCUGCUCGCUCCUCGUGGCCUCCCUCGCGGGCGCCUUCGGCUCCUCCUUCCUCUACGGCUACAACCUGUCGGUGGUGAAUGCCCCCACCCCGGAAGCACACUUUGCUGGCCAAUAAUGGGUUUGCAAUUUCUGCUGCAUUGCUGAUGGCCUGCUCGCUCCAGGCAGGAGCCUUUGAAAUGCUCAUCGUGGGACGCUUCAUCAUGGGCAUAGAUGGAGG
rnacentral:lncRNA from 1 species